UACGUAGGGUCCGAGCGUUGUCCGGAGUUAUUGGGCGUAAAGCGCUCGCAGGUGGUUCGUUGCGUCGUGCGUGAAAGACCCCGGCUCAACUGGGGAGGGUCGUGCGAUACGGGCGGACUGGAGGCCAGUAGGGGGAUGCGGAAUUCCGGGUGUAGUGGUGGAAUGCGUAGAGAUCCGGAGGAACACCAGCGGCGAAGGCGGCAUCCUGGACUGGUCCUGACACUCAGGAGCGAAAGCGUGGGGAGCGAUCCGG
rnacentral:rRNA from 1 species